AUUGAACGCUGGCGGCAUGCCUUACACAUGCAAGUCGAACGGCAGCACGGGAGCAAUCCUGGUGGCGAGUGGCGAACGGGUGAGUAAUAUAUCGGAACGUGCCCGGUCGUGGGGGAUAACGUAGCGAAAGCUACGCUAAUACCGCAUACGAUCUGCGGAUGAAAGCGGGGGAUCGCAAGACCUCGCGCGAUUGGAGCGGCCGAUAUCAGAUUAGGUAGUUGGUGAGGUAAAGGCUCACCAAGCCGACGAUCUGUAGCUGGUCUGAGAGGACGACCAGCCACACUGGGACUGAGACACGGCCCAGACUCCUACGGGAGGCAGCAGUGGGGAAUUUGGACAAUGGGCGCAAGCCUGAUCCAGCAAUGCCGCGUGCAGGAUGAAGGCCUUC
rnacentral:rRNA from 1 species